AGAAAGACUUUCAGGCCAAAAAGGCAAUGGGAGGGCCCGCCAUAAGCGUGGCUACACCAGUAUUCUAUUACUCUGCCUAUACCAUGGCACCACGCUUUGGAAUAUUGGAAAUAAUUUAAUUGAGAGCAUCGCGUUAAUUUUGGUUUGACUACCAGGCAUUUGGGAUGCUUUUAAUGUGGUGUGUUGGCAAGGACAUCUACAUUCUGUGGUAGUGAGUGAUGCCACAAGAAGCCUGUCUUUUUUCAUGAAGAAGUUGAGCUUUAAAUAUCGGGAAGACUCCUUUGGUUCAAAUAAUAAGGGUAUUAAUAUGAGUAUGCAAUUUUGAUUUUCAUUAUAUAGAAAUUACAAAACCCACCAUUGAAUAAUGUUUGAUUUGUUUUUAAAUGUAUGUGUAACAACCAACGGACAAUGAUUUUUACAUGCGGCAGUAUGAGAUUUUCCAGGCAGAAUUUCUAGCAAAUCAGCAUUUGAUUAACACAACUGUGAGCAAGGACUCAGCCUAGAGAUUGAGAGCCUCAGCAUAUUAAACUAGCCCAUAUUCCAGUUGUAGCACAAAAUUUGUACAAUCGUGAUUUUUCCGAAAUACCUAAGAAAGUCAAGUAAAUAAAGUUAAGUACGAGGCCUAAGUUAAUGUCACGACAAAAGGUAAAUGUCAAAAAGCAAGUCUUGAAGGUUUUACCUCUAUUGAAUAAUUGGGAUUGCCUGUUAGUAUUUUUUUAAAAUAUUUUUUUGUAAGUUUCUAACAUUUUUGCAAUCUUUAGGUGUUUUAAAAGUGAAGAGCGUUUACGAGCAACCGAAAAUUUGUUAUCACUAAAUGAAAUCAUCCAUUUAAAGCGUUUUCUUACACAUUGAUGAUGCAAGAUAAGCUUCUCGCAUUCGCUGAAUUCCUUCCCCGCGGAUUAAAUAUGACAUAUUUAAUUGAUCCAAAUCUAACUGGUGGGAAUUGAUGAUGGAAAUUUAACAUUUAUAUAUUCCUUUGCUAGUUCUGUCUUCUAUCAGUCAUAGAACGUUCUAUGACUGCUUCUAUCAGCUUCUAUGUAGGGAAAAACCAAUUAAUUAUCGGCGCUUUGUAAGAUACGGCAAUGAUGCACGGUCUUCCGGUCCAUCAGCUGAGAGCCAAACCACAUUGGAUUUAGGAGCUAUUUUCAUCAUCCAGGAAUUAUUAUCACCUUGCUCUUAGACAGGAACCUGAAGCCUGAACAGUGUUUUAUUAAUCUUAAUGCUAUAUAAAUUAAUGUCCUAGUCUUACAUUGUUUAGGUAUUAAGGCUGGAAUGUUAAGUACUCAUCCGUGGGUGGAAAUCUAAUUGACAAAUGUUCAAAUUGGCCAAAUAUCUUGAGACAGAAAAAACAUAGCAUAAGUUUUGCAAAAAGGAAAAAGGAGCUUCUGGCAAGACUGUUCGACAAAAAAGUCUGGAUUAGUUAAAACCAAAGUUUAGGGUGAAACUAAAUGUAAUUUUCACUUCAGAAAGUUAAACCCUGAAAUACCCCAAAAUUAUUUUAUUGUUUCUUUAAGUAAAUUGAAACAUAAAUUGAUAAUCUUUUUUGUUUUUGCCACCAAUUAAUCUUGUUCUUUAGGGUAUCCUAUGUUGAACUGUGUUGCUGAUGAAAUAUCCCCUUAAAGACUUCCUUAAAGAUGAAGUAAGAGCCUUAGGUCGCUAGCUCGAUCUGCUCGCAGAAUUACUAGAACGUCAUAUUCGUGCAUUGUAAAAAAAAAAGGCGUUCAUUCCCUUCAACCAAUUGUUAACCCGCGAGGUCUCGUAGGAAUCUCCCUUACGCCACUUUAAUUGUAGCUGACAGUGACUGUAAUUAUGGCCCAUUUAGCCCAUGGUUAUCAAGAGCUGCCCUCUUGGUUCUCCGACCUAGAAACUUCCAUCGUCAAAAGCUUCCAGGUUUGUUAUGGUCGUAGAACAGCAGACGACGGAGUUGGCGGCGGAAUUUUACCAUCGGGCAGAACCCAAACGGUCGAAGCAUUGAAAAAUGAUAUCGGUGAGACGUAAGUGCUGAUUCAUAUGAUGGUUGAUUAUGCUGCCAACAUGGCAGGAAAGGAGCGUGCCUUGCUUAAUUGGAUUGAAAUCGCGACGUCGGAAGAAGAGCGUCAUCUUCUGGAAGAGUUGUCCAGUUGCAACCAGAAUGUUGCCACGCUACUGCUUAUUCGCAAUGUUGUUGUUCAGGGAGAUUGCCGGAUUUAAAGCUAUGGCGUAGCACUGAGCUGUGAUUAGACACAACCAAUCUGGAAGGUUCUAGCCACCUACGCCCUGAAUUUCAUAUCUAAAUAUUGUAUUUUAUAUUAAUAGAUUGUAUAUUAAGAUUACAUGCAUCUACAUGUAAUCCAUCAUGGACACUGAAUUCCACUUCACCUGAACGGGAUUCGAACCCAGGAUAUAUCGUAUUCCAAUCCACCGCUCUACCAUUGAGCUAUAAGAGUUACUACAUUAGAAUCUAAAUCUAUAGCACAUUAAGGUAACUGUGCAAAGUUCUACAUAGGGGAUCAAAUAUCAUUGGGGGGGAUAUAGGGGGGGUUGCCAGGAAGGUAUCGCAUCCUACUAGCAACUCGAAGGUCCGUGGUUCGAUUCCACGUAGGUUCCUGAUGUCCUGGGCUUUCAACCUUCCCAGGGGUCUACCUUCCCAGGUGCCAGUCGGGUCGAGAAACUUCCCCAUUGCGAAGCAAUGGGACGGAUAUUUUGGCAUUCUUUAAUACAAUUCCCAAUAAUAAAUUUUAAUAAAUUGUUUCGAUUUA